rnacentral:lncRNA from 1 species
UUCGGUUUUAGGUCUUUUGUUGUGUUUGCGUGUGUUGUGUCUUGUCUCGUGUUGUGAGUGUGAUGUUCUGUUUUGUGUGUUCGUCAUUGUGUGUUGCAUUUAGGUAGCUUUAGUUGCAUAUUUUCAUUGCAUUCUUCUUUUCCCCCUUCUUUUCCAUGUCUAUCUAUUUUGUCUAUGUGAACACUGCUUCUUCUGCCUGUGUCUAUGAUUAUGAUUCUCCUUCUGCAUCUGACUCUGAGUAUGGUUCUCAUAUAUACUCUGCUAAUUUCUAUGUUGAGAACAGAACGGUUCCUCCUCCAUC